AAGUAGCGGUCAGUCAACAGCAUCAGUCUAUCCUAUAUCUAUCUUCUUCAACUGGAAAAACCCUGACCCUAACCCUAAAUUCAGAGAGCUCGAAGAACAGAACAGUAGAAUAGAAAUAGUAGUAGCAGAAAAGAGAAUCAGAUAACCCUAAUAAUAUGUCAAGAUUUGGACACAUCUCUCAGGAUUGGGAACCAGUGGUGAUCUGCAAGAAGGCCUCCACUACCGCCACCCGUAAGGAUGAAAAGACCGUCAACGUUCGCUCGUCGCGUCGGUGCCGAGAUCGAAAUUGUCAAAAAAGAUUUUACAAAAAUCUCUUCCUUUCCUUUCUGUUUGUUUCCCGAGAUUAUUUUUUCAGAAAUUCAUAAAAUUUAGGGGUGAUUGACCUGGUAAGGUUUUUUUUUUUCCAAGCCUUACGUCAUAUCCAACCCUUACUUUAUACUUUAAUACUCAAAUUUAGUACACGUUUGAGUAAAAAGAUUCAUGUGAUAUGAAACACUCCAAUGAUAAACUCAAAUUUGAGUGAAAUUGCUAAGGGUUAUGUUUUGAGUGGAUGCUAGGAGUUGGGAGUAAAGGGGAAUUUGAAAAUUUUGGGUACAAGUACCUACGUGUUUAAGUUUUGAUUGGAUGGGAAUUUCAGUAAUUUGAGUCAAAAUUUGAGUAAAACUCAAUUUGGUUUUGGUAUAGGUUUGAGUGAAGGGGUGGAGGGGAUUUUAGUGCUUUUUUGGUUAAAUUUAAGUUUGAGUUAAGAUUUGGGUAAGGGUUGGAGAUGCCCUUAUAUAUACUUUUACUCAAAGCUUCACUUGAUAUAAACUCAAAUUUGAGUGAAGUCGUUUAGUGUCAAGUUUUGAGUGAGCAUCUCCAAUCUUUGGUCUUAGUCAAUUUUAUUUAUUUUUUAAUCAAAUUAAGCAUCUCCAACCCUUCACCAAAAUUUUCAUCUAAUUUGAUUCCAUAUUUAAGUGAAAAGCUUGAUUUAAUAUAAACUACUCCAAUCAUUUCAUCAAAAUAUUUUCUUCUUUUCAUCAAAUUUGAUGGGUUCUCAAUUUGAUGAAAAAAUGACUUUCUCUUGAUUUGAUGAACAUUUGAUGAAAGGAUUGCUAAUGAAUUUUGAACACUUAAGAAAAGGUGAAGGAUAAUUCUUCAUCAAAUUGAAUUUGAUUUAAAAAAUGAAGCGUUGGAGAUGAUUUUUGUUUUCACCAAAUUUAAUGAAGAGGGAAAUUUAGGAUAAUAGGGGAUUUUUUUUGAAAAGAUUUUGAUAGAAAAUUGAUGAAAGGAUUGGUGUAUUUCAUAUCAAAUCAUGUUUUUUACUAAAAUUUGGAUUCAAAUUCGAUGAAUUUUUUUUGUGAAGGGGGGUUGGAGAUGCUCAAAAGUUGGUUGCAAAUGAGAAUUUGAAAAGAUUGCAUAGAAGCACCUAUGUGAAAUUUUGAUUGGAUAGAAAUUUGAGUCAACAAAAUGGGUGUUUGGUUUGAGUAAAAAGUUAAGUAAAAUUUAAUUUGGUGUUUGAGUAAAGGAGUAGAGGGAAUUUAGUGGUUUUACAUACUUAAAUUUAGGUUUGAGUCAAGAUUUGGGGAAGGGUUGGAGAUGUCUAAAUAUCAAUUUUCUCUAAGAAAAGUGUAGCCAAACUAGUUUCUGUCUAUCGAGACCACAUAGAGCAGAACCUUUUAGUGCUUUUUGUGAAUUUCAGGCAAUAUUUUUUUUUUUUGGUUCUAUUCUAGUCUUGUUGGGAUUGAAAGUGUGAGGUUUGUUUGCUAAUUUUGUGAAAAUUUUUGGACUUAGUUUGGUUCGUGUUUUUUUGUUUAAGCCUUGGUUUGUAUAUUUUUUGUUUCAAAUUUAAAUUUUGUUAUAAAUUUUUUUUAGCAUAUUUGGGUUUGUUAUUUAUUUUCUUACUAAACAACUUUGAAUUCAUCACUUGUUAUUAAUAUACAAAUAGAUAAAAUUUAUACAAAAUGAUGUGUAACAUUAAUAUCCAUUCAUUUCAAUCCAAAAACCUCAUAAAAGUGGCUUAUUAUUUCAAUGUUGCCAUUGACACAUUAUUCUGUGUUUUUUGUUCAAAAAUUCUAUUUUCAAAUCAUUUUUCUAUAUUAAAUAUAGUGUAGACUAUGCAUCCUCAUGUAUAUUAGGAAAUGAGCUGGCUGUGGCAGUUAGGUGUUAUGGGAUUUUUUUUAAUCCAUCCACCAAAGUAUUAAUUGCAUGAUACUGAAUAUGUUUAUGUUGGGAUGAAAUCACUAUUGGGCCUUUUUUCAGAUUGUCGUUGUCACCCGGUUACUAUAUUGAUUGGAGGCAUUUGGAUUGACAUGUGUCGGUUUAUUUUCUUUUAGAUGGUAGAUGAUUUCUUUUAGAAUUUUUUCUCUCUUUCUACAUUUUUAUUGGGAUUUAUACUAGCCAAAUUUAGGUUAUAUAUUUUUUGUGGAUUUAACUGUCACAGUUAUUUUCUAAGCUUGAACAUUAUUUCAAUCACUUGGAUUUGAAGAUCAUAUUUUGGCUUGAUUGCUAUCCAUUGCAAAGGAGAAUCAGCUUACAUAUGUUGUCUUGUUUAUGUCGUACAAUUAUUUUUACAUUUGACAUUAGUUUGCUCUUCUGAGUUGGGAACACUGAUAAUGUUGUUUGUUGUAUUUUGUAGCUAAUGCUGCAUCAAACAAAGCUGCCUCAAGCAGUACUACUCUAAACACAAGGAAACUUGAUAAUGAACCAGAGAAUCUUUCUUUGCAUGAACAGGUCCAACAGGUCAUCAAGUAUUGGGAUGUGAAACCUAAACCCAACUGUAAUCUUGUUGAUAUACACGCAUCCUCCAAGAACAAUUCAUCUUAGGGAUUAAAUGGGCUGGGAUUGAACAGGGGCUGUAACACCCCAGAAUUUUUCAAUCCUCUCGAGCGCAAGAGUUGACGCUCGAGCGGCCUUGUGAGGUUCCCAGUACUUUUUCAAUCUGUCCAUAAUUCUGAGAGUUGUGAAUUUUCGCUCGAGUGCAGGAGUGGUUGCUCGAGCGAUCGGCGCUGUUGGUCUGUUCUCUCAAGCGCAAGAUUGGAUGCUCAAGCUGCCUGCCCGGUUGAGUUUGAAUUUUUCAGACUAAUGGGAUUGUUUUUGACCUUUUAUUAUUGUAUUUGGAGCCUCCUUAUUUUAUUUUGGGACAUUCAUAGAAGUGAUAACAUGAUGGCAAAGUAAGAUCGGACUAAAAACUUUGACUUGGGUAAUUUUCCUACAAAUAUCCAUCACUCUUUUGCCCUUUUCUUUUUCCACACUUUGAAUUUGGGUUUGAGGCUAGAACCAUUGGAAAUCUUGUUUUCGGGGCUUCGAUUUGGAUGGCGCUCGAGCGGAUUGCGCGAAUUCAGCAACUUAAAAAGUGAUUUUCUAGAUCUUUCUCUCCACUUUCCUUCUCUUUCUUUCUUCCCCUCAUCCUAGGUUCAAAAAAACCUAGAUUUUUUACCCAAAUACCUUCCAUUCCCCAGUGUUUUGGCUAAGAUCUCUUACCAAAAAGUGUAGAAGGCUUGAAGAUCUUACUUUUCAAUAGAUUGUAUUUUGGAUUUUUGAAAGUAUGCUCUUGAUCUAGCUUCUUUGCUUUCUCUUUGAGGUAGAGGUUUCUAGUUCUCCUUCAAUAAUCUCAUUUAUUGAUAGAUUUGUGGUAUUUUCUUUAUAUAAAUACAAAAUUUAUAUUUUUAAGCAUAUUGUGAUAAAUCGGGAGAUUGGGGGUUCAGGGUUUGAAAUGUUGGGGUUUAAAUUUUAGGUUAUGAUUAUGGGUUUAUGAAAUUGGGUGUAUAAUUAAUAGAAGAAUUAGAAUAAAAUGUGUUUGGGUGAAAAGUUUUAAUUUCUCUUAAAACCCUAGUUUGGUUCACGAAGAUAGAUGAUGGUUUUGCUUAAAUUGAAAGUAGUAUCAUGAAAUUGAGGUGUUAAAUUGAACAUAUACAAGCUUAAUUAAAUUUUGGAAGUGUUUGGAAAUUUAUGUAAAAGUUGCGAUUGAACCCUUAUUGUUGAUAUUUUAAAUUAUGUGAUAAUAUGAAACAAAGUUUUGUGGGAAGAAAUUGUUAAUGGUAUGGAUGAUAUGAAUUUUGUGAUGAAAUGAUGAAGUUGAGGUUUAAGAUGUUGCAUUGAAAUAUGUUGAAUUGCAUUGAGCUAUGUUGAACUUGCCUCGAAUUAUGUUGAAUUGCGUUGUUUGUGUUGAGUUGUGUUGAGUUGGUUGUGUUGAAUUGCGUGGAGUAGAGUUGUGUUGGGUUGUGUUGAGUUGAGUUAAGUUGUGUUGGGUGGUGUUGUGUUGGUACCUGCGCGAGGAGUUGUAAAAGGUUUUUGGGGGCCCAUGUCCCGCCGUAUAAUAACUAGCAAAUGUGGAGGUGGUUUUGAAUUAAAGGUGCCCAAAUGCCCUGUCAAGGCUUAUCGUUGGACGAAUGUGGGAAAAAUGAUUUUUGGGUGUCCAUACGUCCUGCCGUAUAAUAGCCGGCAAAAGUGGAAAAAUGAUUUUUUGGUAUCCACACAAACCUAUCGUAUAAUAGCCAGCAAAAGUGGAAAAACGGAUGGUUUUGAAAAUGUUUUUGGGUGCCCACUUCCUGUUGUAUAAUAGUCGGCAAAUGUGGGGAUGGUUUUUAAAGUUGAAAAUAGUUUUUGGGAGUUCACUUCUCGCCAUAUAAUAGCCCACAAAAGGUGGAAGGUGUUAUGAGUUGGGUGCUCACUAUCCUGCCGUAUCAAGUCGGCAAAAGGUGGAAUGUGCUGAGAAAUGUGUUAAGUCGGUGAUAAUAUGUGUAAAUUGUGAUGAACUUAUGAAAUUACAAUUUGAUGUGUACUUUGGUACGGAGGGGAAAUACAUAUGAAAAUUAUUUGAAAAGAAUGAAUAAUGAAAUGGUAAUUGGAUAAGGGGUUGGUGAUAAUGAACUCACCGGGUUGUUUGUAUCUAUAAGGAAAGAUUAAAAGUUUUGUUUUUCUAAUUAAUUGAGAAAUUGAAUUAAAUGAGUUUA